rnacentral:rRNA from 1 species
GAUGAACGCUGGCGGCGUGCCUAAUACAUGCAAGUCGAGCGAACGGACGAGAAGCUUGCUUCUCUGAUGUUAGCGGCGGACGGGUGAGUAACACGUGGAUAACCUACCUAUAAGACUGGGAUAACUUCGGGAAACCGGAGCUAAUACCGGAUAAUAUUUUGAACCGCAUGGUUCCAACGUGAAAGACGGUCUUGCUGUCACUUAUAGAUGGAUCCGCGCUGCAUUAGCUAGUUGGUAAGGUAACGGGUUACCAAGGCAACGAUGCAUAGCCGACCUGAGAGGGUGAUCGGCCACACUGGAACGGAGACACGGUCCAGACGCCUACGGGAGGCAGCAGUAGGGAAUCUGCCGCAAUGGGCGAAAGCCUGACGGAGCAACGCCGCGUGAGUGAUGACGGUCUUCGGAUCGUAAAACUCUGUUAUUAGGGAAGAACAUAUGUGUAAGUAACUGUGCACAUCUUGACGGUACCUAAUCAGAAAGCCACGGCUAACUACGUG